UACAGAGGUCCCAAGCGUUGUUCGGAUUCACUGGGCGUAAAGGGUGCGUAGGUGGUUUCUUAAGUCCGUUGUGAAAGCCCCGGGCUCAACCUGGGAAUGGCAGUGGAUACUGAGAGGCUAGAGUGUGUCAGAGGAUGGUGGAAUUCCCGGUGUAGCGGUGAAAUGCGUAGAGAUCGGGAGGAACAUCAGUGGCGAAGGCGGCCAUCUGGGCAGUGGCUGACACUGAGGCGCGACAGCGUGGGGAGCAAACAGG
rnacentral:rRNA from 1 species